rnacentral:rRNA from 1 species
AUUGAACGCUGGCGGCAGGCCUAACACAUGCAAGUCGAGCGGCAGCGGGUCCUUCGGGAUGCCGGCGAGCGGCGGACGGGUGAGUAAUGCCUAGGAAUCUGCCAGGUAGUGGGGGAUAACGUUCGGAAACGGACGCUAAUACCGCAUACGUCCUACGGGAGAAAGUGGGGGAUCUUCGGCCCUCACGCUAUCAGAUGAGCCUAGGUCGGAUUAGCUAGUUGGUGGGGUAAAGGCUCACCAAGGGGACGAUCCGUAACCGGUCUGAGAGGAUGAUCAGUCACACUGGAACUGAGACACGGUCCAGACUCCUACGGGAGGCAGCAGUGGGGAAUAUUGGACAAUGGGCGAAAGCCUGAUCCAGCCAUGCCGCGUGUGUGAGGAAGGUCUUCGGAUUGUAAAGCACUUUAAGUUGGGAGGAAGGGCAGCUAGUUAAUACCUGGUUGUUUUGACGUUACCAACAGAAUAAGCACCGGCUAACUUCGUGCCAGCCGCCGCGGUAACAC